rnacentral:rRNA from 1 species
ACCGGCAGCUCAAGUGGUGGCCAUUUUUAUUGUGCCUAAAGCGUUCAUAGCCGGUUUGAUAAGUGUCUGGUGAAAUCCCGCCGCUUAACUGUGGGACUUGCUGGAGAUACUAUUAGAAUUGAGGUCGGGAGAGGUUAGUGGUACUCCCGGAGUAGGGGUGAAAGCCUAUAUACCUGGGAGGACAACCUGUGGCGAAGGCGCCUAACUGUAACGAGCCUGACGUUGAGUAACGUAAGAAAAGGGCGCCAUCCG